CUGGUUCUCCCCGAAAUAGCUUUAGGGCUAGCCUUAAGUGUAAGAGUCUUGGAGGUAGAGCACUGAUUGGACUAGGGGUCCUCAUCGGAUUACCGAAUUCAGUCAAACUCCGAAUGCCAAUGACUUAUCCUUAGGAGUCAGACUGCGAGUGAUAAGAUCCGUAGUCAAAAGGGAAACAGCCCAGACCGCCAGCUAAGGUCCCAAAGUGUGUAUUAAGUGGAAAAGGAUGUGGAGUUGCUUAGACAACUAGGAUGUUGGCUUAGAAGCAGCCACCAUUUAAAGAGUGCGUAAUAGCUCACUAGUCGAGUGACUCUGCGCCGAAAAUGUACCGGGGCUAAAUACACCACCGAAGCUGCGGAUUGAUACCGAAUGGUAUCAGUGGUAGGGGAGCGUUCUAAGGACAGUGAAGUCAGACCGGAAGGACUGGUGGAGUGCUUAGAAGUGAGAAUGCCGGUAUGAGUAGCGAAAGACGGGUGAGAAUCCCGUCCACCGAAUGCCUAAGGUUUCCUGAGGAAGGCUCGUCCGCUCAGGGUUAGUCAGGACCUAAGCCGAGGCCGACAGGCGUAGGCGAUGGACAACAGGUUGAUAUUCCUGUACCACCUCUUUAUCGUUUGAGCAAUGGAGGGACGCAGAAGGAUAGAAGAAGCGUGCGAUUGGUUGUGCACGUCCAAGCAGUUAGGCUGAUAAGUAGGCAAAUCCGCUUAUCGUGAAGGCUGAGCUGUGAUGGGGAAGCUCCUUAUGGAGCGAAGUCUUUGAUUCCCCGCUGCCAAGAAAAGCUUCUAGCGAGAUAAAAGGUGCCUGUACCGCAAACCGACACAGGUAGGCGAGGAGAGAAUCCUAAGGUGUGCGAGAGAACUCUGGUUAAGGAACUCGGCAAAAUGACCCCGUAACUUCGGGAGAAGGGGUGCUUUCUUAACGGAAAGCCGCAGUGAAUAGGCCCAAGCGACUGUUUAGCAAAAACACAGGUCUCUGCGAAGCCGUAAGGCGAAGUAUAGGGGCUGACACCUGCCCGGUGCUGGAAGGUUAAGGAGAGGGGUUAGCGUAAGCGAAGCUCUGAACUGAAGCCCCAGUAAACGGCGGCCGUAACUAUAACGGUCCUAAGGUAGCGAAAUUCCUUGUCGGGUAAGUUCCGACCCGCACGAAAGGUGUAACGAUUUGGGCACUGUCUCAACCAGAGACUCGGUGAAAUUAUAGUACCUGUGAAGAUGCAGGUUACCCGCGACAGGACGGAAAGACCCCGUGGAGCUUUACUGUAGCCUGAUAUUGAAUUUUGGUACAGUUUGUACAGGAUAGGCGGGAGCCAUUGAAACCGGAGCGCUAGCUUCGGUGGAGGCGCUGGUGGGAUACCGCCCUGACUGUAUUGAAAUUCUAACCUACGGGUCUUAUCGACCCGGGAGACAGUGUCAGGUGGGCAGUUUGACUGGGGCGGUCGCCUCCUAAAGUGUAACGGAGGCGCCCAAAGGUUCCCUCAGAAUGGUUGGAAAUCAUUCGUAGAGUGCAAAGGCAUAAGGGAGCUUGACUGCGAGACCUACAAGUCGAGCAGGGACGAAAGUCGGGCUUAGUGAUCCGGUGGUUCCGCAUGGAAGGGCCAUCGCUCAACGGAUAAAAGCUACCCCGGGGAUAACAGGCUUAUCUCCCCCAAGAGUCCACAUCGACGGGGAGGUUUGGCACCUCGAUGUCGGCUCAUCGCAUCCUGGGGCUGUAGUCGGUCCCAAGGGUUGGGCUGUUCGCCCAUUAAAGCGGUACGCGAGCUGGGUUCAGAACGUCGUGAGACAGUUCGGUCCCUAUCCGUCGUGGGCGUAGGAAAUUUGAGAGGAGCUGUCCUUAGUACGAGAGGACCGGGAUGGACGCACCGCUGGUGUACCAGUUGUUCUGCCAAGGGCAUAGCUGGGUAGCUAUGUGCGGAAGGGAUAAGUGCUGAAAGCAUCUAAGCAUGAAGCCC
rnacentral:rRNA from 1 species